CUGUGAUGCCGCCUACUCUCUCUAGACCAAGGUUCUGGUACACCACAUGACCCACUCUCUUGUUCAGGCCUAUGCCACCCCAUACCAUGAUGCUUGCACCUCCCCAUGAUAUGCUUCUCUUUCCAUAACAC